GUUAGGAAUAUUGGACAAUGGGCGAAAGCCUGAUCCAGCCAUGCCGCGUGAACGAUGAAGGCCUUCGGGUUGUAAAGUUCUUUAGCCGAUGAUUAUAAUGACUGUAGUCGGAAAAUAAGCCCCGGCUAACUUCGUGCCAGCAGCCGCGGUAAUACGAAGGGGGCGAGCGUUAUUCGGAAUCACUGGGCGUAAAGCGUGCGUAGGCGGUUUUGUAAGUUAGGAGUGAAAGCCCAGGGCUCAACCUUGGAAUUGCUCUUAAAACUGCAAGGCUCGAAUCUCGGAGAGGAUAGCGGAAUUUCCAGUGUAGCAGUGAGAUGCGUAGAUAUUGGAAGGAACACCAGUGGCGUAAGCGGCUAUCUGGACGAGUAUUGACGCUGAGGCACGAAAGCGUGGGGAUCAAACAGGAUUAGAUACCCGGGUAGUCC
rnacentral:rRNA from 1 species